rnacentral:lncRNA from 1 species
CCAAAUGCUGCUCCUGCUCCCCAUCGCCUGCCUCUCCACUCUCGGGCUCACUGGAGCAGCCACAUCCACGCACACUUGAUUGGUGGCCCCUGGUUUGGGGCUGAGUCCUCUGGGAUUCACAGCCCCAGACGGAGGGCCGGGAAGGAGGAAGUGGAGAACUCUGGGUGCUGUGGCUGGGCUGGGCUCGGCUCUGUGAAGGCAGCUGCGCUGGGGUGAAGACUCCAGCGCCCGUUUCCAGAAGAGGAGACGAGUCCCCAGGAAGUUAAAUAAUAUGAAUGGAGCCACAAGCUGGGAACAGUGAGACUAGGUCUGGGGUCAGUGUCUCUGACUCCGGGCCUGUGCUUCCCCUCGACGUCAUGAGGAUGACGGAAGCGGGCAACACCUUUCUUACGAGGGUUUGCUCAUUGGAAACCCUUUUCU